AGACUGGGUUGUAAAAACUCUUGAAUAAUGAGAUAAGGAGUGCCUCUGGGUUGGUGAACACAUCAGAUGCUGGGCAGGUGGUGUGUUGCCUCCCUCCAUACCAUGCAUCUCUUCCCUUUGGCUGAUCCUGAGGUGUAUCCCUUAGAAAUAAGCUGGUAAAUCAUGAGUUCUUCUGUUUCUUCUGCGUGGGUUGACCAUGGGCAUCAGGCAUCAGAGAUACAACUCUGGAUCUUGUCCAUCCAUUGCUGGGCACUCUGUCCAUCCUGGGCGCAGAAGUUAUACACACGUUUGCUGGUCUUGAGCUACAAAACCAAAUGACAGUGAACCAGAGAUGAAGGGCAGGGCUGUUUUAUGGAUUUGGGCAUGGUAUGAGCAGGGCUAAGUGGAAAAAACUGUAUCUAUCUUUCAUGUUAAAGAAGUCCAGAAGACUGACCUCUGGGGAAAGACUGCUGCUUUCUGCUGGGAUUACCACAUCUGUGAGGCUUGGAAUGAUCAGUAGCCAUCCUUUGUGCCAUGUUGGGACUGACAUAACACAGAGAGAGGGCAAAGCAGAGCCAGGAAGUGGAUAGAAGAUACUGUGUGAGAAGCUAGCAUACCCUUGGCUGUCCUAGCUUAUGAGUCUACUGCUAAGAUUUCAGCAUGUCCUGUGGCUGAGUUAAUCAGAGUUAUGACAGGAAGGUACCGGGCACACCAUCGCAAUGCUCCAUCAAUGCUAGUAUGUUGUGUUCUUUCCUUCAUAUCAAGUCAACUCAAGCUUGCUCUACUUACCUGGUGUACACAGUCUAAGAACUGUAAGAAGACUGGAGCAAAACCACUCCCCUGACAGUUGAGGGUCAAGCUGCUCCUCUGACUGAAUUUGUGACCAAAAGAGAGCCACUCUUUUUCAACCAACAUCUGGAAGCCUUCAAGUGUCCUAUAAAAGGGAUCACUGAGUAACUGAACCAGGGAUGUCACCUAGGGCAUAAGCAGGAUGGAUUGUCAUUAAUUUUAGUUCUGAAAAAGGCCUAUUACUAAGAUAAAAGCACUUCCUUCUGAUGAUAGCUAAUUCACAAAUUUACCUGGACAGCAAAUUUGUUCACUAACCAUUCCAGGAUGGCCAAUAAAAUUAAUUUUGUAAACUUGCCAGUAAAAACUAAAGCUCAAAUUCAUUUUGGCUACAAGUUUACUUUCAGGGAAUUGAGACUUUAAUCCUUAACUGGCCAGUUUGCUGACAGCAACCUUUUCCUAAGUUAAUCAGAGGCCAGAGGAUCAGUUAAAAUCAAUUCUACUUUUUGGCAGAUGCAGAUUAAUGUCUUAAUGUAGUCUGAACUCACACUUUUCACUCUGGAGUGAGUUAAGGCGGGGCUUAUAGAGAGCCAGGGGAUGGACUGACAAAACCCAGGAAGGAUGGUCCACGCCUCACACUGCUGGUCAAGGGCUCCAUCCGCAAGCCUGCAUGGUACAUCUGUGGAUGGGAGAGCUUGAUGCCCGGAGCCAGAGCUCCAGGCUGCGUAGGGGCUAAGAGCUCAUGGUACGGAGUUUUCUGAUGGAUACCAGGUGCUGUUUAACACAGGACUUUCUCUGUCCAUAAACACAUUAGUCAUUAUACAAAAGAGUCAUCUGAAGAAUUUAAAAAUGACCAAAUGGAAAUAUAAAUAUAAAAUAUCAAAAAAUAUGUCUAAUAGUUUACUUGUGCAGUGAUGUCCCAGCCUUCCUCCAAACAGACCAAAACUGAGGAACCAUUCUCAAGUACUUCUGAUACAACCACAGCCAGCUGCAUUAUCCUGUGAAGCUAAGAGACAGGAAGGAGAACACAAUUAGACCAAGCGCUUUCUGAGUGCAGAAGUCAGAGAGAGUUGCUUUCAACCCUGGAUAAUCAAACGACUUAGGGAUAAAGCGCUUGCACAAAAGAACCACAUAAUGUUUUAAAUACCUAAAGUUCUUUCAAAUCAAGAUUAAACAAUGACACUUUUGACUGGAUGCAAUGACUCAUGCCCAUAAUCCCAGCACUUUGGGAGGCCGAGCCGGGCAGGUCAUUUGAGGUUCGGAGUUCGAGACCAGCCUGGGCAACAUAGUAAGACCCCAUCUCAAUGAAAACAACAACAAAAUGACACUUCAAAAAAGUAGACACAUUUUAAAACAAUACAUUCUAGUAAUACAUAAUGAAAUAAAAUUACCUUACAUGAUUCCCCCAAAAGUAGGUGAGCUAUAAUUCCAUAGAGUACAAAAAACAGAGAUUCUAUGUGGACUUCCCAACAAAAGACGGAAAUUCAGAUGAAUUUUAUUGGAUUUAAAAUUUGUUUUUCCAUGAUGUAGUAAGUUUUGUUUCAGACAUUUUUUUUUUUUUUUUUUGAGACAAAGUCUCGCUCUGUCACCCAGGCUGGAGUGCAGUGAUGCAAUCCUGGCUAACCACAACCUCUGCCCCCCGGGUUCAAGCGAUUCUCCUGCCUCAGCCUCCCGAGUAGCUUGGAUUACAGGUGCAUACCAGUGCACCCGGCUAAUUUUUUGUAUUUUUAGUAGAGACGAGGUUUCACCAUGUUGGCCAGGCUAGUCUUGAACUCCUGACCUCAGGUAAUCCACCUGCCUCAGCCUCCCAAAGUGCUAGCAUUACAGGCGUGAACCACCACGCCUGGCCUAUUUCAGGUAUUCUUAAUUUUUUGGGAAUUAGAUAGUGGUGAUAGUUACACAAUGUUGUGGACAUACCAAAAAGCGUUGAGUUGUGCACCUUUAUCAUAAGGAUAAAUUUUAUGGUAAGUGAAUUAUAUGUUAAAAAAGAAACUCCUGGCUGGGUGUGGUGGCUCAACGCCUGUAAUCCCAGCACUUUGGGAGGUUGAAGCAGGAGUAGUGCUUGAGCUCAGGAGUUUGAGACCACCUGGGCAACAUGGCAAAACCCCAUCUCUACAAAACAUACAAAAACCAGCCAGGCGUGGUGGCAUCUGCCUGUAAUCCCAGCUACUCAGGAGGCUGAGGUAGGAGGAUCGCUUGAACCUGGGAGAUCGAGGCUGCAGUGAGCUGUGAUUGUGCCACUGCACUCUAGCCUGGGUGACAGAGCAAGACCCUGUCUCGAAAAAUAAAAAUAAAAAAGAUACUCCUAUUUGUCUAUACUGUGUACUAAAUGAGAAAAAAACUUUCAAUAUAUUUGUGCUAAGUUUUUAAAGCCACAUCAAUUGGCUCAAAGUCCUUAAUAAACAAUUAAGGUAUGAGAAUAGUAUAUAGAUUUUAAAACCAGAUGUAUAACAUUGUAAUUUUAAAAAAUAUUUUAAUGAUCAUCAGACAUAAUUUGCAAUUUGAAUCCAACUCUGAACAAGAACAAAAAUGAAAAAACCCAUCUCUUAAACAGAGCUAGGCUACUUUAAACACAGGAAUAAGGCAAAUGCCCUACUCAGUAAUGAGAAGCUCCUCAUGUAACUGUUUCUACAACAUAGCUAUCACCAGGCCUGAAUUCUUUUGGGCUCAGAAUUUGUUCUAAGAAAUGGCUAUUAUUAAAAAGUCAAAAAAUAACAGAUGCUGGCGAGCCUGUGGAGAAAAGGGAAUGUAUAUACAUUUCUGGUGGGAAUGUAAAUUAGUUCAGCCAUUGUAGAAAGUAGUUUGGUGAUUUCUCAAAUAACUUAAAACAGAAUUACCAUUUGACCUAGCAAUCCCAUUACUGAGUAUAUACCCAAAGGAAUAUAAAUUGUUCUACCAUAAAGUCACAUGCACACACAUGUUCAGUGCUGUACUAUUCACAAUAGCAAAGACAUGGAGUCAACCUAUAUGCCCAUCAACGGUAGACUGGAUAAAGAAAAUAUGGUACAUAUACACCAUGGAAUACUACACAGCCAUAAAAAGAAUGAGCUUAUGUCCUUUGCAGUAACACAGCUGAAGCAAACUAACACAGGAAUGGAAAACCAAAUACUGCAUAUUCUCACUUAUAAGUGGGAGCUAAACAUUGAGUACACAUGGACACAAAGAAAGGAAUAGACGCCUGGGGCGUAUUUGAGGUUGGAGGUGAGAGGAGGGUGAGGAUAGAAAAACUACCUAUCAGGUACUAUGCUUAUUACCUGGGUGAUGAAAUAAUCUGUACACCAAACUCCCAAGAUAUGCAAUGUACCUAUACAACAAACCUACA
rnacentral:lncRNA from 1 species